GACAGAAUGCAAGUCAUCCACGGAACAUCCCGCACGACUCAUAAUCGUGAGGUCGCGGGUUCAAGCCCCGCUCCUGCUA
rnacentral:tRNA from 1 species